rnacentral:rRNA from 1 species
UACGUAGGGUGCAAGCGUUAAUCGGAAUUACUGGGCGUAAAGCGUGCGCAGGCGGUUAUGUAAGACAGAUGUGAAAUGCCCGGGCUUAACCUGGGAACUGCAUUUGUGACUGCAUGGCUAGAGUUUGGCAGAGGGGGGUAGAAUUCCACGUGUAGCAGUGAAAUGCGUAGAGAUGUGGAGGAAUACCGAUGGCGAAGGCAGCCCCCUGGGCUAAGAUUGACGCUCAUGCACGAAAGCGUGGGGAGCAAACAGG